rnacentral:piRNA from 1 species
UNCAUCCUAGAGUUGGGCUACAUGAAGGC